CUUUCUUCAUUUUCAUGAGUGAUUUCCGCAAAACUUUCAAAGAAGAGAAUCCUUCUUCUAACGUUAAGGAUGUUGCAAAGCAGGGUGGUGAAAAGUGGAAGUCUUUGACUGAGGAAGAAAAGAAAGUUUAUUUGGUUAAGGCUGCUGAACUAAAAGACAGAGUACAACAA